rnacentral:lncRNA from 1 species
GCAUGCACGAGUCAUGCAUUUUACAACACCGGGGCGACAGUCCCGCUUCCUUUAGCAUUUCCACCUCGUGACAUUUUUCUCUAUGUUCCAUAAAUCAAAGACCUCGACCUGCCGAGCUGAGGAGAAGAAAGAAGGCCUGUGAGGAAAACAGAGAAAGACACACUUUCAUACAGAAAGCGCUUAUGAUUUGGAGAGGUUCCUGUUGAUGCUCGUCUCUUCUGAUGAAUGCUCACAGGUGCAGGAGCAGUGCCUCUGCAUUUGACUCCAGCCCAUGGGGAGCCAGUGUGAAGGGUCUCGCUAAAGGACACAUGGUGCCAGAGGCGUGGAUUGAGCAGAGGAUGUGAUGCUUCCUGGACCCAUUCUCGACCUACUGAGGUUUGCCGUUGGAGGUGAAGUAUACGCUGAGUCGUGUAUGAAAUCAGUCCCAUGAGGUGUGAGAAGCUAGACUAAACUGGAGGACGCAGCCUGUUUAGCAACACGUCA